rnacentral:rRNA from 1 species
GAUGAACGCUGGCGGCGUGCCUAAUACAUGCCAGUCGAGCGAACAGACGAGGAGCUUGCUCCUUUGACGUUAGCGGCGGACGGGUGAGUAACACGUGGGUAACCUACCUAUAAGACUGGGAUAACUUCGGGAAACCGGAGCUAAUACCGGAUAAUAUUUCGAACCGCAUGGUUCGAUAGUGAAAGAUGGCUCUGCUAUCACUUAUAGAUGGACCUGCGCCGUAUUAGCUAGUUGGUAAGGUAACGGCUUACCAAGGCAACGAUACGUAGCCGACCUGAGAGGGUGAUCGGCCACACUGGAACUGAGACACGGUCCAGACUCCUACGGGAGGCAGCAGUAGGGAAUCUUCCGCAAUGGGCGAAAGCCUGACGGAGCAACGCCGCGUGAGUGAUGAAGGUCUUCGGAUCGUAAAACUCUGUUAUUAGGGAAGAACAAACGUGUAAGUAACUGUGCAUGUCUUGACGGUACCUAAUCAGAAAGCCACGGCUAACUACGUG